GGCUCGUUGGUCUAGGGGUAUUAUUCUCGCUUCGGGUGUGAGAGGUCCUGGGUUCAAAUCCCGAACGAGCCC
rfam:Danio rerio unplaced genomic contig NA366, GRCz11 reference primary assembly.